rnacentral:rRNA from 1 species
GACGGAGGAUGCAAGUGUUAUCCGGAAUCACUGGGCGUAAAGCGUCUGUAGGUGGUUUAAUAAGUCAACUGUUAAAUCUUGAGGCUCAACCUCAAAAUCGCAGUCGAAACUAUUAGGCUAGAGUAUAGUAGGGGUAAAGGGAAUUUCCAGUGGAGCAGUGAAAUGCGUAGAGAUUGGAAAGAACACCGAUGGCGAAGGCACUUUACUGGGCUAUUACUAACACUCAGAGACGAAAGCUAGGGUAGCAAACGGG